rnacentral:RNase_P_RNA from 1 species
CCGGGUAAAUGAGAUAGCUGCCUUUGCAAUAAGGAGGAAAGUCCGAACAUCAAAGGGGAAAUUCUUCUGAGAAAUCAGAAUCUGCAUUUGCAGAAGGAGAGUGUCACAGAAAAAAUACCGUCCCGAUUCAUCGGGAUAAGGGUGAAAAGGAGAGGUAAGAGCUCACCACCUUGUUCCAAUUGGAAUAUCUAAAUUUAGAUACUUUAACAGCAAGGGUACUACAAACCCGAAUUGAUGCAAGACCAAAUAAAGAAGGAACCCUUAUUGGGUGCGUUUUCCCCUUAACGCGUUUUUUAAACACACUUCAGGGUAGGUUGCUUAAAUUAUCUGGCAACAGGUAACUUAGAUAAAUAGCUAUCGUCCCGUUUUGCGGGAUACAGAAUUCGGCUUAUCAUUUCCCGGGUUU